GAUGCAAAUCUUUUCCGAACUGAUUUAUUCUAGAAUUGUUAAAAGCGUAUAGAGGACAGUCACUGAGGUUAAGCCUCACAUUCCCCGUUGUCAAUGUCUGUGCCAUCCCACGACAAUCAGAAGCCCUCCUACCUCUGAAAAAUAGCCAUGGUCUAGUUCCAUUGUGAAAGACAUCAGAAGCUGCUUCCAUUUGGCUGGUUCUCUAAAAUGUCUAGAUAGUUGCGUAUAAACACCUACAAAGCAGGGUAUGCUGUCUCAUUAGUAUUCUACUCAGAAAGCAGCUAUCUGCAAGAAUACCACUUUUAUCCCCCUAAAAGAAGUCAAUAAAAAUGUAUUCACCCUGAAAGUGAAAAACACAUCCCAUAAGUGUUUUAACUUGUCCUGAAUGGCCUACACACACACCCAUAAGUGUUUUAACUUGUCCUGAAUGACCUACACACACACACACACACACACACACACAUACACUCACACACACAGAGUUGCUCCCCACUGGUCUACACAGAAGAUAAUGUUAGUCCCUGCCUCCUGGGGAACUGAGAGAAUUAAGUAAGAUGCAUGAGAAGGCCUGAGAACAGAGUAAGAGAUCAAUAAAGGUUUGCUCUGGUUAAAAUUACACACUCAAAAUUGAUAUCCAUAGUUAUUAUCAAUUUCACUGUUAUGCUGCCUAAACACCCAAGAGUCAGACAUAAGACAUCUGGCAAGGGCUGGCUGUUGGCAUCAGCAACUUGGGGCAGGAUCCUCAGGCUAAGGGUCCCCUGCAGCCAGGGCGGCCUCCAUGCUGCCUGCUCAGCAGCUGCACGCCCAGGAACAUGGUAACACUGGCCUGCUUCCAGCAACACGAUGCAGCCAUCACAGCUGCUCUGCACGCGCUGACAGGGUGAAUGUGUCUAGAGGGAAAAAGAAAAAGGAUGAAGUCAUUGCUAGUUCCAUAUGGGUGGAUGGGUGGCCACCCCUUGGGCUUGUAUUCACAUGUCUCUUGUGUCACAGCCUUGGCUAGAUCAUAUCCCUUUCAGGGGACAGUUUUAAUGCGGAGAAUGGAAGAAUCUCUUAUACGAGAUCAUAAAAGUCCACAGCCCUUUGUGAUGUCAAAACCAGACACUGGAAAGAGCCAGCAAGAGCUCUGUCUCACCAUGUGAACCCAGAGCUGGGAGGCAGACCUGUGUCCACUUCUUUCUCCCCAGAUGUGGACAUCUUGAAAUCCUGAGGAGCCUGGGACCCUGGCCAUGGCUUUGUUUGUUAUUUGUGUCAGAAACUCAGAGAGAGCACUUCCGUACCUAUUCC
rnacentral:lncRNA from 10 species